rnacentral:rRNA from 1 species
AUUGAACGCUGGCGGAAUGCUUUACACAUGCAAGUCGAACGAUGAAGCCUAGCUUGCUAGGCAGAUUAGUGGCGAACGGGUGAGUAAUGUAUCGGAACGUAUCCAAUAAUGGGGGAUAACGAGUCGAAAGAUUCGCUAAUACCGCAUACGCCCUACGGGGGAAAGCAGGGGAUCUUCGGACCUUGCGUUAAUGGAGCGGCCGAUAUCUGAUUAGCUAGUUGGUGAGGUAAAGGCUCACCAAGGCGACGAUCAGUAGCUGGUCUGAGAGGACGACCAGCCACACUGGAACUGAGACACGGUCCAGACUCCUACGGGAGGCAGCAGUGGGGAAUUUUGGACAAUGGGCGAAAGCCUGAUCCAGCCAUUCCGCGUGAGUGAAGAAGGCCUUCGGGUUGUAAAGCUCUUUCGCAAGGAAGAAACUUACUUCUAAUAAGAAGUGAGGUUGACGGUAACCUUGA